CUAACACAACCCAGCCCAUCCCAGCCCUGCAGGAGGAGUUACUCGCAGGGCCUUCGCGGCAAUCAGGACAACCCUUGGAAUGGGGGAGCGAGAGUGGCAUUCUAUGUCACAUUGCAUUUGUGUAGCCCAGCGCUCGCGAUCACCACGGGGCUAUGGUGUGCCGCUUUCAAACCCCUUCUCCUGCUUCCAGGCUAGAUCGUCGUAGGACCAUCUCGGAACUUCAAUUCUUCCUCUCUCCUCUCUUUCAUGUUUCUGCCGGAAAAUUUUCCUCCCUUUCGCUUCCUAUUCUUCGUCUUCUUCUUCUCCUCCUCCUCCUGGUAAUGUUCCUAUGUUUGUCUUGCUCGCUUCUGGCUUCGAGUGAGGUCGGGUUGUUAUCAUUUCAAGUUUAGGUUUUGACGAGAAGAUUUUUUGUUCCACCACCGUAAUCGGUUAGAGAGAUGGCGCGGGGGUCGGGUAGAGGAAGAGGAAGGGGCCGAGGCAGAGGUCGUGGACGGGGAGCUCCUGCAGUUCCUAUUGUUGCAGCAGCUGGUGCUGAACUUGAGUUCCGAGGUCAAGUGAAUGUAGAGCACGACUUGCCACUUUCCACGCCUGUCAAAGUUAAGGACUCCUCCAACCUUGCUCCCGUUCUCCAGACCGAGACAAUGUCUUCAGCAGAGACACUGAGACCUGAUGCGACGGGCGUAACUGUUACUGCACCGGAGUUAAGUGUGGAAGCUAAUGAUGAACGGCAUUUUGUUUCUGAUGAGCAGCGGGCGGGUGGAAUUUUUGAAUUUGGUGAUACUGGCGGUACUGCUGCUGAGAAUGUCGUUGCCAAUGGUACUGGUGCUCUUGCGGAAUUGUCAGUGGCAGGGCUGGAGAACGAAGCACUGAUUAGUUCUGAAAACGGGGUCGAAAAGAUGGAUGGUGAAGCGGGAACAGCAGUAGAAUCUUUUGGAUCCGUAAUUGCUGGUUCCUGGAAGGCGGUAGAUGCUCCUUCGAAUGUAUCUAUCGAAACCUCUUCGGUUACCAUGCAAGAUACAGACGAGGUUGUUAAAGAAGUCGUGUCUCUUGGGCAGAAAGUGAACGAAACUGUCGCAAUUGACAUUUUGAAGAAGGAACAUACAGAGGUGGUCAGCGUGGAGACCCUGGUCGAAAAUUCCUUGGACAUGCCUGCAGUUGCGGACCCUAUUUCUUCAAGUAUCGAAAAUGCAAAGGCUGAGGUCAUGGAGAUCGCUGCGAAUAUAGAAGUCAAGAAUGUAAAAUUGAAGGAGGGAAACGUAACUUUCGAUUUAGAAUCUAUGAAAUUGGAAGUAGGAGAUGAAAGAACGAACACUGACCUUUCAAUUGAGAGGUUGAAGGGAGGAAUCAAGACGCCCCUUGAUAACGCUGGUAAUGUCAGGAGUCGAGUUGAAAAGGACUUCGAUGGGGAAAUGGAUGAUACAUUAGAUGGUAUUAAAGAGAAGGAGGAGCAUGACGAAGACAGAGACGGUUAUUUAGAGGGAUCGAAGGAGUUGUUGAGUGGAGAUGGGGCAGAAUACGAUGCUGAGGCGCAACACUCAUUGCCAUUUUCUGAGCGAAGAAAGUACAAAAGACUUGAGGUCUACGUUGGUGGACUUGACAAGGAUACGACAGAAGAAGACUUGAAACCAUUGUUUGAGAAAGCUGGGGAGGUAGUUGAGGUUCGAUUGAUGAGGAACCCCCAGACUGGCAAAAACAGAGGCUAUGCUUUUGUCCGCUAUUCCUCUGCUGCCAUGGCUAAACGUGCUGCCGAAGAGUUGGGAACUAUUGAGAUUCGUGGACGAGAAUGCACAGCCAAACCUAGCGAGGAGAACGAUACGUUGCACCUAGGCAAUAUUAACAAGUCUUGGAAAAAGGAGAUGGUAGUGGAGACUUUGAAGAGUCUUUGCAUUGAGAGAAUAGAGGAAUUGACACUGAUGGAAGAUCCUCAAGUUGAGGGCUUAAAUCGCGGCUUUGCUUUCAUUGAGUUUAGCACGCACAAGGAUGCUUUGGAGGCUUUUCGAAAAUUGCAGCAGCCUGAUGCCAUCUUUGGAGCCGAUCGCUCUGCAAAAGUGGCUUGGGCUCAACCUCUUUAUGAACCGGAUGAAGAUACGAUGUCUCAGGUGAAAUCCGUAUUUGUGGAUGGUAUGCCUCCUACAUGGGAGGAAGUAAAUGUAAGGGAGCACUUUGGCAAGUAUGGUGAGAUAGAGCGCAUUGUAUUAGCUCGCAACAUGUUAUCUGCCAAGCGGAAGGAUUUUGGCUUUGUGAAUUUCGUGGAACGGGAUGCUGCAUUGGCGUGUAUUGAUGCUUUAAAUAAUACCGAAAUCAUAGAUGGAGAUAUAAAGAUGAAGGUGAAAGUGGUUCUUGCGAAGCCACAAGUCAAAAGCAAGUUCGGAAAAGGGGUAAGGGGAGGAUAUUCUCUAGGAUUUCGAGGAGAUCAUCGAGUGGGUACAAGUCCUGGCCUAGUUGUAAAAGGGGGCAGCGGCGAAAUGGGAGCAGUGUCUCAUGACGCGACAUCCUGGGUCAAUACUGCUCGAUGUGAACACCAAGUGAAACUGGGUGGGGUACGAGAAUCAGAAGCAGAUAUGAAGACUAAAAAGGAGAAAGUCAAUUAUGACGAAACAGUUACCAACUCCCAGACUUUGUGCUCCAUACGGGAUGUAGCAACUGAAGACAGUCUUUUGUUAGAAUCCGAGGACAAAAUGGUAUCAGGUUUAGAAAAAAAUAAAGGUGUACCCGUGGACUUAUCUGGCAGUAAUGCCGCUGAAGCUGAAAAGCUGUACCCUACUGUUGCGGAUAUUGUCACUAAACCCAUUCUUGACAAGUUCGAGUGUGCAAUGUGCGGGUUUGGCUCAGAUUCUCCUGAUGAUUACGAGUCCCACAAGAAAACAAAGGUACAUAGAGUUAUUGAAGAGUUACGGAAGGACCAAAAGCUACAUAACAAGACUCCUCUGUCACUCCUGCAUGAGUAUGCUUCACGUAAUCACUGUGAAGUGCAUUACGAUACAAAAGCAGAAACUAAUGGUCCAUUUGAAGUUACUGCAAUCAUUGGAGGAGCUUCUGGUGGAACUACAGGUCCUCCCACGAAGGGGUUUGGUGCUGGCCGUAACAAAGCCAGAGCUAAACAAAUGGCGGCCGCUGAUGUUCUUGAGAAAAUUAUGGAAAAAGUUCCAGAGUCCGAAUUUACAAAACCUGGCCAGUCUAGACACCGUUUUGGUGAUCGCGAUCGUUCAGGCCGGAAAGGUAAGGUUGGUGGAGGAACUGGGGGUGGCAGCGGUGGUGGUAGUGGCAGGGGUGUUGGUGGAGGUGGAAGCAGUGCGUAUCGCAACCCACGAGAACGACUGAGUGAUGAAUGGAGACCGGCACCGACUAGCAUUAAUGUUCCUGGAGCCACCAGAUUUGGUGGGGUAGGUGGAGGACGAACUAGAGGGCUAGAUGAUAACAGUUUAUAUAUGGGAAGUGGAGGCAGUUAUCCAGGAAACCCCAACGCAAUACCCAUCACUGGCUACAGUAAUGAAAUUUCUCGCACUAUUAAUCGUAAUGGUUAUGUGGAUAGAUAUGUUGGGCGAGGUGGAACAGGCUACAACAUGCCGUUGAGAGGAGGGCGUGCUGGGCUGCCUAGUCAUCCGGAAACUUAUGCUGAGCGUUAUGAUAGAAUCCAAGGUGGAAGGGGUUAUGGAGGUGGUGCCUUUGCUGGGCGAGAGUAUUUUGGAGGGGGAGCUGGAAUUGUUGUUGGAGGCAAUAGCUACGGGGGUCGGGAUGUAGGUGGAGUCAGUUAUGGUGGUAGAGAACUCCCUGCUGUGCUUGGUUAUGGUGGCCGUGAGUUACACCCUGGAGGGGGAUAUGGUGGACCUAGUCGCGAUUUCGAAGGAUCUGGAAUCAAACGCCCUUAUGCUGCCAUGGAUGAAGAUGCUCGUUACCUAGAUGCUCAAAGAGGCCUUCCUCGACAGCGCUUGGAAGCUUUGGAACAUAUUCCUACUCAGCAGAGCGGAGGUGUACAGGGCUUUGGUGCGCAACCUAUGUUUUCAGAUGCAGCCAGGGCCUCAAUUGUUCAGCACCCGAUGUACACUGAUGCAUCCAGGGCUCCUGUUGUUCGUCCGCCAGAACAGCCACAAUAUAAUGCCUAUGUACAACAAACACAGGGAUUAUCUGUAGCUCACAGUAUUGGUCAGGCGCAACACGUAUCUGCACAGCAUCUUUCUAUUCAACAUAUGCCUUCUCAACACACCCCUUCCCAACAUAUACCUGCCCAGCACAUAUCUGCUCAGCAUGUUCAAGUGCAACAUGCUCCAACGCAUGUGCAUACACAGCAGGCUACCAUGCCGAUUGCUAUGGUUGGUGGACCAGGUCAAGGAGGUACACCAUAUUCCGUAUAUGAUGCAGCCCCCCAGUCAACUGUGGGCGUCCCAACUGGGACUGGACAGACGGCUACUCAUGCAUACAGUCGUCAGUAUGCUCCUACAACCCUUAACUAUGCUGGCUAUUCCGUCAACCAGGAGUACAUGGUUAAUACUGGUGUUCCGGUUCAAGAGAUGACCCAGGCAACCUCAUACCCAGGGCAAUCAGCAUAUGGGACUCAGUAUGGUGUACUGCAGCAGCAGCAACAGCAAUUAUCUCAACAAGGUGUGGGGUAUGCCCUUCAGGGAGCCACGCUGCACCAGCAGUCUUAUUACUAGAAAUCGAUGUAUGUGACCUCUCUGUUGACCCAUUGCUGUUUGAUCUGAGGACACCACCACGUAACUUCUUUUUGGUGGCGUUCAGAAUAGCGAUUGUUGCUUUGUUGGGAUGGGUUUGAUUCUAAUGUUGAUUUGGCUCAAACCCAUGCCCUCAAGACAUAAGACAGCGUCUCAGGGGUGCCAGAUAUCCGUGCUCGUCAUGGGCAGGCAACUGGAGAAUUUGAACUUUGUGGUUGCUGUGAAACUUCAUACGAGUGAAGUGCAUGGUGAAGGCUGAAGGAAAGAGUUUUUUUGUUUUGAAGCCAGGUAGUGAACUUCGUUUCAGAAUCCUUUCGGUAUUUUAGCUUCGUUCUCCUGGUGCAUGGUACGACGAUGCAUGUCUAGUAACAGAGACAAAAAAGCUUGAGUCAUUUUCCUAUUUCUCAAGGCAGGCAUCGGGAAGCUGUUAGCUGUCGGAGGUGGACAUAUGCGUUGAAAGACAGAUUUGUGCCUCUAAGGAAAGGGUUGAGCAUGCUAGCUUCUUGAGGACCCUACAGGCGAUGGUGAGGAAGUCUCCAUCGUUAAGUCUCCAUCAGUAAGCUUGUUGGAGAACAUUUUGACAUCAUCCUUUUAGACAGAAGAGUUAGAUUACUUAAGGAUUCACAACUUUCAAGCCAAUGAUCUUUCAAGUAUGAAAUAAAUUUGCCAAAUCGUGAGACAUUGUAACCAGGUAUGUUUCCUCGCAUGCAAACUCAAAGAUGAGUUAUUCAUACUGCUGUACGAACAGAUCAAGCUUUAUCCAAUGCGUUGAAAGAUUUAGGGUUUGAAUUAGUUUCCUUGACCCUGGAUGUGGAGUGUUUGAUCGAUGGUUGCUUUAUGAGAGUUUUGACAAUGUUUAAGCAGAGCAGAGGAGGGCCUGUAGGUUGUACGUGGCACUCGCUGCCAGCAAGCUUUUUUUUUUUUUCUAACUUUACGGUCAGAUUUAUCAUACCACGGGGAUGAGAGCAUGGGCUAUUCCUCCUAGGCUUGUAGUUGUCGUUGGGGGUUUAUCGCUUACCUUUAAAUAGAUACCACAUAAAACGUUUAAUUUUUACCAAAUUGCUAGUGCAUUACGCAUGGCUGAACUGAAUAAGUGGUGAAACGUUUAACUUCAAAAUUAGAACUGUCCACAGUGAACUAGUGAAUUUUGCCUAGAUACUAUGGUCGAUUUGUUGUCGGCCUCUGGUUGUGGUACUGCAGGCAUCAGUAGGCCAGUAAUCACUGAACUGAAGUGAUAGCGUAUUUUUGUUCUAAUCUCUCACUAAUCAUAACCGCAGGCCAUAUUUUGUAAUAGAAUAAAUACAAUAAUACGUACUUAACACUAGGAUUUCCGUUGAAUAUUCCUGUGUGUGCAUUAUGGGUUGGCUGUCUUGCAGUUUCAGCGAAUCAACUUGGAGGGCAUAUCAAUCUUCUGUUGUUUCAUUGAAGAACAUAUGCUGACAUGAACAUCAAGUUUCUCCAGGCUUUUAAUUAUUAUCUUAUUGACCUGUAAAUUUGUGUGAUCUAAUGCCCUUAUUUAGCGUGUAGUAAACGUAAUUCCAUUCUAAUUAGCAUAUUCGUACGUAUCAUUUGACAUCUAGUGUACAAACAACGCUGCUCAUCGUGACCUUGGUUGUGUGGCAAAGCACUGAAUGUUUCUCUUAUAGGACUUGUGAGCAUAACCAAUAUAUGUUGUUUUGCAGGAUGAAAAACAGAUUUAUCCCUGGUCAGAGCAGCAGCUAAUGUUUAACAUGUUUUGGAGUGUCAUGACAAUGAACAACAAAUUUGUUUAACAAAACACCAAACUGAAAUACUUCAUUUGUUUACAUUGGAUUUUCACUUUUAAAUAUUUUAAUUUAUUUUUUUACAUAAAGUAAUUGUUCUCCAUUGAUACAAGGGAAAAUAUCAUAUAUACCCCUUGAAUAUGCUUAAGUAUCAAGAAUACUUUUGCAUUCUUGAUAAUAGUCUUUAUACCUCUAGAAUUGUUGAUAACAACAUGUAUACCCUCCACCUUGACAAAGUAUUAGAAACCUAACAAUUCCA